AAAGUAGAGCUAAGGAUAAGCAUUUCAUUUACGUUGAAAAGAAAAAUCGAUUAUAUCGAUUUAUUUUGAA
rnacentral:tRNA from 1 species